ensembl:lncRNA novel transcript
AUCACUAUUGUAGAAUCUAAGAUUGGCCUUUUGAGAUAUCUUUUCAGGAUUUUUGCAUGUCUGACACCAAUGGCUCCACCUGGACCCACCAGGAUCUGCCAACUGCUCCUGUGGCCCCACCCAGAAAUGAUUCAGUGCAAGAGGAAGCUUCAAUCCCCUGAUUUCAUCUCUGAACCAACCAAUCAGCACUUCCCAUACCCUAGCCCCCUGCCCACCAAACUACUUUUGAAAAACCCCUACCCUAUGAGCCUUCAAGGAGAUUGAUCUUCUGUUUGUUUGUUUGUUUUUGUUUUUUGAGACAGAGUCUCUCUCUGUCAGCCAGGCUGGAGUGCAGUGGCACCAUCUCAGCUCACUGCAACCUCCACCUCCUGGGUUCAAGCAAUUCUCAUCCUUCAGCCUCCCGAGUAGCUGGGAUUACAGGCACCCACCACCACACCCAGGAUGCCAAGACAGGAGGAUUGCUUGAUGCCAAGACAGGAGGAUUGCUUGAGGCCAAGUAUUCAAGACCAGCCUGGGCAACACAGACAUUGCAACAUCCCUGUCUUUACCAAAAAGGAAAAAAUUAGCCAGCCAUGGUGGCAUGCACCUAUGGGCCUAGUUACUCAAGAGGCUGACGUGGGAAGAUAGCUUGAGCCCAGGAGUUCAAGGUUACAGUGUCCAGCCUGGGUGACAGAAUAAGACCACGUCUCAAAAAACAAAGAAACAAACAAACCAGCCUGGGACCUCCUCCCUGCUUUGCUUCCUCUUCAGCAUGUGUGAUCUCUUUGCACAUGCCGAUUCCCCUUUCACAUUCCACCUUGAGCUGAAGCAGCCUGAGACCCUCACCAGA